rnacentral:rRNA from 1 species
GAUUAACGCUGGCGGCGUGCCUAACACAUGCAAGUCGAACGAGGUAGCAAUACCUAGUGGCAGACGGGUGAGUAACGCGUGGUCAACCUACCGUUGAGUGGGGGAUAACUAGCCGAAAGGUUAGCUAAUACCGCAUACGUCUCCGAGUGGCAUCACUUGGCGAUAAAAGGAGCAAUCCGCUCGAUGACGGGACCGCGUCCCAUUAGCUAGAUGGUGGGGUAACGCCUACCANGGCACCGAUGGGUAGCUGGUUUGAGAGAGCGACCAGCCACACUGGGACUGAGAAACGGCCCAGACUCCUACGGGAGGCAGCAGUGAGGAAUUUUCCGCAAUGGGCGCAAGCCUGACGGAGCGACGCCGCGUGUGGGAAG